rnacentral:rRNA from 1 species
UACGGAAUGUGCAAACGUUACUCGGAAUCACUGGGCUUAAAGAGUCCGUAGGCGGCAUGUUAGGUGAGGUGUGAAAUCCCCCGGCUCAACCGAGGAAUUGCGCUUCAAACCGGCGUGCUUGAGGAAGAUAGAGGUGGGCGGAACUGAUGGUGGAGCGGUGAAAUGCGUUGAUAUCAUCAGGAACACCGGAGGCGAAGGCGGCCCACUGGGUCUUUUCUGACGCUGAGGGACGAAAGCUAGGGGAGCGAACGGG